AGUGAACGCUGGCGGUAGGCCUAACACAUGCAAGUCGAACGGCAGCACAGUAAGAGCUUGCUCUUACGGGUGGCGAGUGGCGGACGGGUGAGGAAUACAUCGGAAUCUACUUUUUCGUGGGGGAUAACGUAGGGAAACUUACGCUAAUACCGCAUACGACCUACGGGUGAAAGCAGGGGAUCUUCGGACCUUGCGCGAUUGAAUGAGCCGAUGUCGGAUUAGCUAGUUGGCGGGGUAAAGGCCCACCAAGGCGACGAUCCGUAGCUGGUCUGAGAGGAUGAUCAGCCACACUGGAACUGAGACACGGUCCAGACUCCUACGGGAGGCAGCAGUAGGGAAUAUUGCACAAUGGGCGCAAGCCUGAUCGAGCCAUGCCGCGUGAGUGAUGAAGGCCUUCGGAUUGUAAAACCCUUUUAUUAGGAAAGAAAAACAGCGUAAGAAAACCCCGCUGUUCUGACGGUACCCAAAGAGAAAGCACCGGCUAACUUCGUG
rnacentral:rRNA from 1 species